rnacentral:lncRNA from 1 species
UUUAAUUAAUUUAAGCCAGCCAUAAGACACACAAUGGAAGAACAUUAGCAUACAUAUAUGAAACAGAGGCAAUUACAACAAGAGGACUACUGAAUCAGUCAUAAAAACCCCCAAUAAAGAAAAUAAUUGCAGGAUAUCAUAAAAAAUCCCAAUAAAAUUGCUGAAUAUAAUUGCAGAGUGUGUUUAAUAAUUCAUAACAAAACCCCCAAUUAAGCAAACAAAAGCUAGAAGAAGAGAGAUAAUUGAGUACUGAACAAAGAUCAAAAGAUAUCGC